CAUCAUCUUCGUCACUAUCAUCGCUAUCAUCUUCAGAGUCAGAUGAGCUGCAAGUGAAUGACCUUCCUGUAGGUGGGAAACCGUUCAUUGUUGCUUCAGCCACCUCUACACCUUUCUCUGAAUGCAGAUCAGCUACACCAAGAAGCAAAUCCUACAAAAACAGAAUUAUUUGCCCAUUGAUUAGUACAAUUGAACUGUACCCCCAUGAUUUCGUUUUGAGCAGAUAAAUAUUAUUUGAUAUAUCACAAUGAUCUAUUUGUUUAUUUCAGAUUAUUGCUAAUAAUCUAGAUUAGCAUAUUCCUAAGUGGAAACAAACAGGACCUAAGACAAUCCAGUUUACCAUCUCAAUAUAUUCCUUCUCAUUUCCUGUAAGCGCUUCUAUAUCACACUCUUCAGGACGUUCAUACCCUUCAGGACGCUUAUUCUACAAAUAAAUUACAUAAAUUGUAGUUUAUUAACAGCAAAAACACCCAUCUAAUGUAAUAUCAGCUAGAAACAUACUUUUACAUCGAGCUGCAAUUUAUCGUUCGCCUUUGCCAUCUCUCCCAAGAAAUCUUUCGCUCUUCCAAGAACAGCCCUCCAUUACGACACCCAAAACAAACGCAAAAUUAGGUGAGCAAGGCAGAACAUCAUUCAACUCUAUGGGAACAAACAACCUGUUACACAGUAAAAGUUUCUUACCGUGAUCAGAGCAUUGUGUUUUUGACGGGUUAAGUGGGGUAAAAAAAUCAACAUGCCAGCACACUACUGACUUCUUUUCUCGAACAACAUAGCAUUGACUUGGAAAAAAAUCGACAUAUAUAUGUGUAAUCCAUCCAAAUUUGCUACCGGCCCGUUAUUUUCAGCCGCCCGUACUAUGGAUUAUAAAGGACAACACACCCUAAGAUUGCCAUUAAAGGACAAAACACUUGGGGCUGGUUCAAGUACGCCUCCAUGUAAUACUGGGCACACAGAUCGGCCAUAUCUUGCAAGGAUGCAUUUGAGAUGAUGUAUCAACGACCUGAGGGAGAGUGGGGAGCAGGGAGCGCUUGCCUGGAGUGAGCUUUCCUCGGACUUGAGGGGGUCGAGGAGAGGACGACCUUGGCGACAACGGGGUUAGCGUUAGCGCUGGCCAUAUUGGAGGGGGCUCUUGUUGAGCAUGUUCUCCCGCCGCCACCAUGCCACCACCGAAUCCACCACGUCCAUGCCGCCACCUCGGCCCACGUCUCCGGCGGAGUUAGGGGCGCUGUUUUGGGUGCUGUGGUCCGACUUCUCCAAGUCCGGCGACGUCUUGGCGCGUGAGUGAAGGCGCGGAGAGAACGGCGCUGUCUUUAGACCUGGAUCUCGCCUCGGACGCCCGGCGCGACGCCAUGCGAGGCGGAGAAGGAGGGGCGCUGGAGAACGGAGAGAGAACGCACCUGGCGGCGGCGGCAUCGGGGCGGAGAAGGAGUACGGGAACGCAUGAGAAGGAAGUGCAACCGCAAGUGGGCUGGGCUUCACGCAUUACCAAUCGUCCAUAUUAGAUCCGACGGCUGAGAUUUACGGGUGACGUGGCUCAACCACAGUUUACCAUUGGGUCUUAACUAUAUAGAAAGAAGGGAUAAGGGAGCAUGAUCUUCUUCGUAAAGAUUAUGGAAGCAUCAUUACUACAAGUCAUGAAGGAAAAAAUAAAAUAGUAUAAAAGUUAAUUGACAGGAGAUAAAGUGGUACAAAAGUUACUAAAUAGGUAAAGAAUAAAUUAAUGUAAUAUAAAAUUUGAUUGAUGAGAAAUGAAGUAUUGUCUUGUCAUCACCAAACCCCUUAUAUUGUGUGAUAAAUUUAAAUGGUAUAAUGUAACAUCUUGAGAUUUCCCUAAGCCAAGAGAUCAAAAUUUUAAAUGAAAUUAAAAGAAGUUGUUUUUUUUAGCCAAGGGUUAAUUUAGUAAAAGAAAUUAUUUAAUUAAUUCAACCCAAAGGACGUUAAUACAUGUUUUCGUGUUUGUCAUGUCAAAAUCAUUUUAUUGGACGUACAAUUGAAAUAUCAAAAAUAUCAGCUUAAAGUUUUAGCGAAUAAAAGUCGUUGAGAGUUAAUUUAAAGUCGACAACCUAUUCUUUUCACUUUUUUGUGUGUUAGUCGUGUCAAAAUCAUUUAACUUGAACACAAAUGUCAAAUCUUGGCAUGAAACCAACUUUCCUAUGGCUUAAAUUCAAAAUUAAAAUUGAAUUAAAUCGUCUUAAAUACUUCAGCCUUUUUUUACUGACAAUUAUAAAUUUACCAUAAGUUUCAAAUGUUCUCGUGACAUUUCUUAGAAAAUUGCAAAAAUUCUACUAAAUCUGUUAUUCCAGUGGCAUCCUUCCAUAUAGAAAAAUGAUCAUAAAUUUGCAAAAGCACCUUUUCUAUUUCAAAGAUGCCACCAUAUAAUAAUUAAUAGAGUCACCAAAGGGACUACAAUUGUACUUACUCUUAAUAAAAUCAUUAGUUUUGUAAUUAUUUUGUCAUCUUUCAUCCAAAAUCGACUACAUACUUUCAAGUAUGCAUGAAUGUAAAAAUUGAUAAUAUUGAAAUAUUAACCUGUGUGUUGCUAGUUUAUAAAAUUCAUACUUUUUAUAAUUGUGUGAAAUCACCUUUUUUUAAGGCAUGCAAUUAAGAUCACAUAUAUGUAUCUCAUUGUCAUACCCUGAGUUUUAUCCUAAGCCUAAAAUCAUAAAAGAAAUUGUUAAAUAACAAUUGGCUUAAUUAACUUAGAAAAAACCUCUCUAAAAGGAAUUAAUUUAAUUAAAUCCAAGUCCGAAAAUCAUUAACUGGAUUUAAAUUCAAAUUACAGAGUAUAAAAUUUCGCUCCAAAAGUUAACUUAAAAUUCGGCAAAAGCAGGGCUUUUCUUUUUCCUCAUUUUCCCUCCCUUUUUCUUUCUUUUUUCCUUCUUUCUCGAAUUGAGCCGAAGUCCAAUUUCCCCCCUUUUCUUCUUCUUUUCUUUUCCUUCUUUCAUCCUUCUUUUCCCUCCCGGGCCGGCCCAGUCGACCGGCCCACCACCCCUGCUCCCACGCUUGCCUNNNNNNNNNNNNNNNNNNNNNNNNNNNNNNNNNNNNNNNNNNNNNNNNNNNNNNNNNNNNNNNNNNNNNNNNNNNNNNNNNNNNNNNNNNNNNNNNNNNNNNNNNNNNNNNNNNNNNNNNNNNNNNNNNNNNNNNNNNNNNNNNNNNNNNNNNNNNNNNNNNNNNNNNNNNNNNNNNNNNNNNNNNNNNNNNNNNNNNNNNNNNNNNNNNNNNNNNNNNNNNNNNNNNNNNUCCGCUGGUCGCCGUCCAUCGCGCCCGAGCGCUGCCGCUCCUCUCUCUCCUGGCCGAACUCCCUCCCCACUCCUCUGUGCUAGACUGCUGCCGGGCGGGCCCGGGUUGUCAGCCGCCCGCCGGCCCCCCCCCCCCCCCCCCCCCCCCGCCAUCAUCUUCGCCUGGCCGUUGCCGACGCGCCCCCGCCAUCACCAGGGUGCACCCGCCCUUCGCCGCGUCACUGCCGUCUCCUCCCCGCGCCCGUCGGCCGACGUCCUCCCCACCGCACCGCCCGCCAAUUGCUGCCCUUUUACGGUCUGUGCUGCCUGGCAGUCGCCGCCCUCCGCUGCUCGCCACCGGUGCCAAAUCCCUCCCCUGCUCGGCCGAAGCCAUCUCCCCUCCUCUCUGUUCUGUGUGGCUGGCCAGUGGGGCCCGCAUGCCUGCCAGCCACUCCCCUCUCUCUCCCUUUCCUACGGGGCCCACCCGUCAGCCGCCACCCCUCCCUUCCUCUCUCCUCUCCUCCCCAGGCCCACAUGUCAUCCUCCCCUCGCCCCUCUAAAAUUCAUAACUAAUUCAUCGGGUCUCCGUUUAAGUCCAUUUAAAUUUCAUUAAAUUCAUAAAAUUGCCAAGAAUCCAUUAAGAAUACUUUCUUGUGUUGUUUCAGUAGAGUUUGUGUCUAUUUUAUUUAUUUUGCGUUUUGUUGCUUAGAUUUGAAGCCCGUCGACGCACCGAUUUACUUCGAAAUCGUCGCCGAAGUAUCCCAGGGACCAGAAAAAGGCAAGUGGCAUUCAUCUUUGAUCAUAUUGAGCCUACUAUUGCAAAAUCUCUGCUUUAUUUAUUCAAACGUGCAUUAUUUCAAUUAAAGUAUUUAUUGUAUUAACUUUUUGGGUUACCUAUUAUUAUGCUGUUGUUUAUCCAUUUUGAUUCAUGUUACACCAUGGGUAAUUUAAAUAGAGAUUAGGCCUGGGUUUAAUGCUUAGCCGUGCUUAGAACUAGUAGCUCAUGGGAUCACACAUUAAUCAUUGCUAGUCAUGAAUAGUUGUUGAUGAUCAUUUAAUAUCCGAUACAUGUUAAUGCCAACUAAAAUAUUGAUAAUGGUGGGUUGUGGGUGCAUGGUUUCGAAAGUCGCACCCAUAACAAUUAAGGACCGGUUCAUAGAAAACCCUGGAAGUUAUUUCCGUACUAACCACAAGCCAGAAUGGGCAACGGUAGGAUUUGAAGUGUAAUUUUAAAGUAUUCGACGUACCCAGGCAAGGAUGAGCGUGAUGGAGUAUGGAUGGGAGUCGUGGUUUAACGAUGGCCUAUGCUGCUUUCGGAUUCGCCUAGGCAUAAGAGGGGAUUGUCCAACUUGGUGUAAAGGAGGGGGCGAAACCUGAGGUAUGGUGCGAUUGAAUAGGGAGGGUUAUGCGAUGGGUCCUAUUGUAGUUUCCUAUCUGAUAUGCCAUGGUGGUAUGUCGGCGCACGUUCAAGUAUAGUGGGACUAUAUCUUGUGGGUAUAUUAGUACACUAGAGUAGACCUAUUCGAAUAGCCAUGCCCACGGUUAAGGGCGAGCUGCCAGAUUCACUGUGAUUAGUCUAACCUUUAAUGACUUGGGUAAACUGGCUUUCACUUGGGACUACUGCAACGUGGUGUAACGUUGAGUAGCGGUUGUACCUGCUGCAACAUGGUGUAACGUUGGACAGAGAUGUGGUAUUUUACAAUUGUUAUUUACUUAUUUACUCUUUUAUUUACUUAUCUACCUUUAUUUGGUUUAAUCCCUAUUGUUUAUUAAAUGUUGCUUUAUUGCAACUAACCUUAGUCUAUCUUUGAUGAUUCUUUGCAUCAUUUAUUACUCUCCUUUUCCGUGCUACAUGUUAAGUACGGUGGUUUGUACUCAGCCUGGCGUAAUUUCCCCCUUCAGAGCUGGAAGUUGAAUCUGAUGGAGGUGACUCUCAGGAGUAGGCUGUCCGUCGCCGAAGUUUGCCUAUGGACAAUAGCCAUGCCCGCUGGAGCUAGUUUGCAUUAUCUUUCCGCUGCAUUUUCGUUAGAUUAAUGUUAUUAUUUCAGUUGUUUCUAAGAACGAUGGUUAUGUAAUCAACAUUGUCUUUUUAUGUACCCUGACUGGUUCUGUACAGGGAUUUUUAAUACACAAUUAAGUUCAGAAAUUCGUGUGAGGAAUUUCUGAGCGUGACACUCAUUUAAGUACUAGAAAAAACUAAUUUAAUAUUCUAUUUUUAAAUUUGUGUCAUUGCCUUUUGUGAUCCGUUCGUCUUAUGAAAAAUAUAAUUAUUAAUUAUUUUAUUGCGAUGGAUUUAUUUCUAUAUGCACUUUAAGUAUGACAUAAUAUACAAAUCAAUGACAUUAAAUAGAAAAAUAAAAGAGGAAGUAUAUACUUAUCUUAGCUUUAGAAACGUUGACCAAACAGGAACAUGCGUACGUGUUUCCAACAUAACGCGUGCUUUUGCGAGAUAUUAUAGGGUUUAAUUUAGGGAUUGAGAUCGGGUGCACCCGUAGCAACCACUGCACCACAGGAUAUAAGCCUGCUAUAUGUUUAUGUGGAGGAGAGAGAGGAUGUGGGGCAUAUGAACCAAAAAACUCAGUAAGAGUGGUAUAUGGGUGGACUUAAAGAAGGCUAUAAGAAAUCUUAUAGCUAGCUUGUUGGCUAUAUUAUUAGUCAUUUAUUUUAGUAAUCAACUGUGCACAAUUAACUUUACAGUAAUAUUUACACAAUAGUAGCAUGAAAUGAACCCAUGAAUAGUAGGGGCUGAUUGCUAAAUGCCACAGUCAUAAAUGAAAAUUAAUUUAUGAUAAAAAAAUUAUAUAUAUAUAUAUUCUUAGCGGUUUUUAAAUCAAUGAUAAAAUAAACUUGAUAGCAACCCUAAAAUCAACUCCAAAUUAUUCUACCUGACUUUUGUGGUAAUCGAGCUCAUAUGCUAAAACUAUAAUUAAUACUCCUAAAUUUUUUUUAUUUGAUAUCGUUGACUUUUGUAUAUACGUUUGACUUCUCAUUUUAUUAAAAAUUUUAUAUAAAUACGUUAAAUUAUAAGUUAUAUUUAAAAUUAAAUUAUAACAAAAAUAGCUAACAAAAAAAUUAACGGCCUCCAUAAAAACAAUGGAAUACUUCAACUACGCCGGAUCUGGAUGGCGGGUCUUAAGACCCAUACAAGUGCGCACACAUAUGCAUGUCAUGCUCAUAUCCGCCGACCCAUAACAGAUAUACAUAUAUAGUUAUACACUACGUAGUUACGGUAUUUCGGUUAUAAUUUUUGUUGGCCGGUUGACAAUAAUUUUUAGUGAGCAGAAAUACGAAUGGUCAUUUGAGAGGAGGAGCGUCGGAUACGAGACCAUUUUUACGAAGUCCAUGGUUUGAAGACCAUUAAACCCGCUUCUUUUCGUGGCCUAAAUAGUAAGAUGGUAUUUGGGACAAGAGGCUAAACUUUAUCCUUUUGUCUCAUCAAAUGUUUAGAUACUUAUUAUAAAUAACAAACAUAGACUAUUAAUAAAACAUAUCUAUAAUCUUGGACUAACUCGUGAGACGAAUCUAUUGAGCCCAAUUAAUCCAUGAUUAACAUACGUGAUGCUACUGUAAAUAUGCUCUAAUUAUGGAUUAAUUAUACUUAAAAAAAUUAUCUCGCGGAUUAGCUCUUAUUUAUUAAAUUAACUUCAUGUCACAUCGGAUAUUUGGACAUUAAUUUGAAGUAUUAAAUAUAGACACUAACAUGAAGUUAAAAAGUUUAGCCUAAUCUGAAACAACCCCUAAAUUGCGCAACAGUACUAGAUGCAUGUCAACGUGGCAAGCAACACAUGGAAUACGUGUGCAGUACUACGACGGUUUGGAUCUGUAUAUAAUUUUAUUUACAAUGUGCGAGCAACAAAUUUAUUUUAUAAACAUAUAUACGCUCCACAAAUAAACUACUUAAUCCAUAAAUUGACCCCAAAAUAAACAGGUUGAAGCAUUUGCCCAAAACUAGUACGAUUGCGGAACUGAUAAUAGCCAGUUCAAGCCAUAAACUGACAGUGGUGCUAUAGUUUGAAAUUCAUUUUUAGACCUGAAAAAUGUUCUAAUUAAAUUGCCUACCAAUUGGUUUAUAUUACAAGUCGUUUUAUGUUUACCUUAGGUCAGAUCUUUUUAAUUUGACCACAUUUAUAACAUAAUACAGUAACAUUUUCAAUACAAAAUAAAUGUGUUGUAAAAAAAUUCAAUCGUGGUUUUAUUUAAACUAAUUAAGUAUCAUAAAUAUUAGGAUUUUUUCCGUAAAUUUGGUUAAAUUUAAAGCCAGUUGACUUUAGAUCAAUUGAUAUAUGUGUAUAUGACUGUGUGUACAUACAUGUGUAUGAUUCUGCCGUAGCCUUCUUGCGUAUAUAUAAUCGAUCAAUUGAUGUGUGUAUGUAUAUGAUGCGAUGAAUGAUUGGCCAACCGGCCACGUCUAUCCAUGCAUGAGACCUCCAAUUCAGUUAGUGCACCGACCGCCGGUACGUCCAAUUGACAAGAAAAAAAAAUACAGUACUAAUUGAAAAAAAAAAACCAUCACCAACUGGCAACUGCCAAGGGAUACGACAAUUUAUUGUCGACCAUACAUCAGUGACUAACUGCAACCUUCUCUGUUCAUAAACUAUCUUCUUUUAUUUAGUGGGACAGUAGGUUACUGUAGUCAUCUUAAAAACCACAUGGCAAGUGUUAAAAAUCAAUUAAAUAUCUGCAGGAAACUCAAAUUCUAACCGAAAUCCAUGGCUCGCCAGUGGCCAGGAAUAGAUCAAACUGAGGCGCUAUAUUGUUGUGCUAUUCAACAUAUAUCAUGUGGACUCUAAUUGAAUAAUUAACUGUUACUGAAAAUAGCUGCAAUACUACAUCAUAAGUCUGAAGUCUCUCUUUGUCAUUGACAUUGACAAUCUGCUUUAGUGUAACAACUAGUAAGUAGGAUGAAACGGUCUUUCUUUUGUUAUUAAAAAGUUACUAUUUAUGUCAAAUGAUAAACAACGCUAUAUUUUUGAUAGAGAUAUGACCUGAAUUUUAACAUGCAGUGUAUUUGGGUUAUGAUAUUAGUUUUCUAAUAUGAUUAUUAGCCUUUUUCUAUUAGUAAUCAAAAGUUUCCUAACAAGGCUUGUAGUAUCUUCAUAUCAAGAACUCUUAGAUUUUUCCUUUAUAUUAGAACUAUUAUAUCUUUUCUUUAUAUAUCUCUUGUAAGUUAUUUAAAAAGGGUACGUCGAUCUGUUGUAUUAUCGUGUGUUAUAAUCAUCUUCUCACAGCGGUGGUUGUCAGUUGACGCUUAUGUUUUUUGACUUUUCUAGUAAGGGUUUCUAUAUAAAAUUUUGUGUCCGUUAUGCUGUAUUAUUCUAACAAGUUGUAUGAGAGCUCUAGAAUUCAUCUACCACCGGCGUUUAUUGUCAAAUUGAUCUCGCUGAAAGGCGAGUUGGCAGAGGUGUGCUUCAUCUAGUUGUUGUUUCGUUGAACAAUCUUGACGAGUUGGAGAACACCAACGGGGCGACUGUUUGGCUUUUUCAGCCAUAUUUGUAAACUAAAAAUAAUUUAUAAAUAAAAUUUAUUAUGCGUGUUCUCAGCGAGCUAAAAGUCAAAGACAAAAAAUAAUUACAAUUAAAAACACUAAAAUCAAAUUCAAACAUAAGGGUGACAAUAUAACUUUUAGCUUACAAACAUAAAUAAAAACAAAAAGAUUGGUGCUAAAUCCAAAAGCCAAGCCGACUGCUCAUACAUAUAGCUGUUUGGAGUUCAAGCGCUGCAAUAUUGAAGCACACAGUGCGUCCUACGGCGCCUUCGUUUCAUGCCUACUAAAUUAACAUACCCCUCCGCGGAAAACGAUUAGUACAUGAUAAUUAAUUAUUAAUUAUUAAAAAAAUAUAAAAUAUAUUAAUAUGAAUUUUUAAAACAACUUUUCUAUAGAAAAUUUUUUAAAAAAUAUAUCAUUUAGCAGUUCGGAAAACGUACCUGUAAAAAAACGAGGGAGAUAAGUCUAGCCGAACGCGGCCCUACACGUCGAGUGGCAGGGCAUCAACCAUCCACCUCCGAGGCCGAGCGCGCGUUCACCGACGCUUACAUUAAUCCUGCUAGUCACUUUUGAAUAUUUCCCGUGGAAAUUGCUAUGGGCACAUGCAAUUUGUACAGGACGAUUUUGAAUGUUUCAUAUUUUUUUUGGUUUACACUUUCUUUUCUCCAACAUGUUUACCACUGAAUUUGAGAUUGAGAAGUUGAAUGUCAAGAUCCAUUUGAGCAUAUAUUGUUCUAAUAUAAAUCGAUGUUUAUAAGGACAAAGCAAUUCACCGAGGAUGGUUCAUGGACUAGGACUAGGUGGGAUAAGUUGGAUUCAUCCCAUUUUGCAGCAGAAUGAGUUGGUUCCAUUUUCUUUUGAGAAAAUUCUCUAGUACCGCUGAAAUUUUGCUACAUCCCUCAAUACCCCUCAAUUUUACCUCAUCCCUUAUAUACUCAUGAGUUUUCAUUUUAAUCAUCUCUAUACCCAUAUCCGUUAGUUGACCAUUAGUUGAUAGUUAAAUAUUUUAAAAUGACUAUAUUACCCCUCCUAUAAAUAUGUGUUACCUACCCAAUAAAUUUUCAUAUGAAAAAAUAACUUAUACUAAAAUAUAAGCGAUAUAAUCAUUUAACACCCAACUUAAAAAAUAUUUUUUUAAAAAAUAAUAUGAUUAAAUCCAUACAUUAGUUUCACCAAAAAAUUAAGUAAAACUAAAUGUUAUCUAGGUUUAAAUUUUUGGGAAUAUAUACAAAAUUCAUGAAAUUUGAUCUAAAAUUUAUUUAAAAAAUUUAAAUAUGUUUCUAAUUUUUGAUAAACUAAUUACAUCCCCUUUAUUUUUUCACAAUGUAUCUUUUUCACCACAUAUUUGUUGAAAAGUAAUUUCUACCAAAACUAACAAUCAAACUAAUGGUCAACUAACGGAAUGGGUAUGUAAAGGAUCCAAAUAAAAACUCAAGGGUAUAUAAGAGAUCAAACAAAUUUUAGGGGCGUAGAAGGGAUUGGGUGAAAUUACAGGGCCACGUAGGGAAUUGGCCCUUUACUUUUUGGUUGGACAGAUAUGUUAAACCAUGUUUUUUUUGGUUGGAGGAUGUGUUGAACCAUGUUUUUUGUUUGGUUGGAGGGAUGAGAUGGGAUAGAGUGAACUAAUCAUUUGUUGGUUUGAGGAACGAAUGUGGGAUGGUUGGAUGUGAUUACCUCUAUACAUUGAGUUGCUGAGGUUACCUCUAAUAUUCAAAUGAUAUAUUGAAUACUACAAUUAAUAUAUGAAUAAUCUAAAGUAAUUAAAUGUAUAGUUAUAUAUUUAAAAUAUUUUAAAUAAUUUUAAUAAAAUAAAAUGGACAUUUCCCAAAAAUUAUCACAUAUGCACAUGUCGUGCAACAUGCUUGAUCUUAAUUUGUGUUUUAUCAUAAAUAAAUUCACUGGUUAAACAACAUCAAAUGAUGUAUCAACUAACAAUAUAAAAAAUAUAGCAUCGCCGAAUCGUCCUAGGAUAUAUCUGUCUCACCGUUUUGGUGGAAUGGGUUGGACCUGGAUCUAAGUGGAAUAUUUCACUUCUAGGUCCAACCCAUCCCACCUAUCCACCAACAAAACAAGGUCAAGGAUGGGUUGGUUCAGUCCCAACCCAUCUCACCCUUUGAACCAAACACAUCAUAACCAUUCCAAUUGAUUACUUUGAUUAAAUUGUUUUGGGCGUAAAUUAGCUACAUAUACUUGUUGGUUAAUUUAUUGGCUUAGCUAAUAAUUAGGAGAGAUAUAAAAACCACCUAAUAUCUAUCCAUAACCGAAUUGUAACAAAUUUGGAGUCCUAUAGUUGUUUACCGUGAUCGGUGGAAUAAGUUAGAAGUGGAUAAGGAGAAGCCUCCGAGACCCACCAAUACGCUAUAAAAAAUGAAGAAGGCAUACGGCAAUGCUCGUGUGGCAAUUACGUACUCAAAAAUCAUUUUCCUUCUCUAUCGAUCAAGAGAUGCACUGGAAGGACUUCGUGAGGUAAUCCCAAGGCAGUGCCUUUGGUGACCCAAAGGUCGAAGACAGAGAACAUAUCACUGGUCCUCUAAUAUUGCCGGAGACAAAGAAGAGAAGACAUAAAUCAGAAGAGAAGACACUUAUGGCCUUAUUCAUAGGUCUAUAUUUUAUUUUUCCGUAUCUAAAUGAAUUGGUGACCAUAUAUAGACUAGGAUUUUAACUUCUUUAAUCUAUUUAAUAGAUGUAAUUAAACUCCAACACUACCCAAACACACGUACCAUGAUUUUAUCACAUCUCCGCUCGGUGCACAAAUAAGUGUCACAUUUCACAUUUUCUACUAGUGUUAUACAAACUCAUUCUGGCAGUUUCAAGAUUAUAUCCCAUGGUUAGUUUGAAGUAUGACUCAUUGCUCCAAUUUCGGUCAGGGUAUUGCAGUGGAACUACUAUAAGCACAUAACAAACAUAUUAUGAGGUUUAUCAAGAGAUUAAAGUAUUUCAUUUUGGUAAACAUAAGUGUACUAUGGUUUGCAUCUCUGUUGGAUUCCACUAGUUUAUACCAGUAGAUUAAGGAAUUAAUUUCCAUAGCGAGUUUGAAGUAUGCUUUACUGCUCCUGUUUAAAACAUAUGAGAUUCUUGUUGUACUAAAGCUUGAUUAGUGUUUAUUAUAGUCCAAAACACUAUUUGCCACAAGAUGAUUUUAUCUACAUUAGGUUUCUUAUGAUUUUUAUGCUACAAGAGAAUUCAUCUUAAGGUGGAUAUUAUUAGAGACAUGAUCUGAUUUAUAAUAUGCAAUGUUUUGGGUUUAUGAUAUUAGUUUUCUAAUAUGAUUUCUAGUCUAUCUCUUUUAGAACUCUUAGAGUUUUCUAAUAAGACUCGUAGUCUUUUUCUAUUAUGCUAUUAUAUUUUCUCCGUAUAUAUCUCUACAAACCUACACACCAAUGGUACAACGGUCCAUUAUAUCCUCUUACGUUGUGACCAGUGGUUGUUUUCGGUCAGCACUCAUGGUUUUUCAAGGGUUUUCAUGUAAAUUUUCGUUUCUCUGUUGUGCAUCUAUUUUUUGAACAAUAUUACAUAUAUGUGUAUGUGUGUGUGAAUUUUGCUAGAAUGAGUCAUGACUCCAUAUUUUGCAUGCAAUAAGAUUUUGAUAUAAAAAGUUUAUUGAGCCAUAUAAAUCUAAAUUCCGAGGUGAUUUGAUUUAUUUUUUAAAUCAUGACGGAGCCGUCUGUGAGUCAUGACUCAUGGUAGCAUAACUCUCUACAGUACCUAUGCAAUGCAUAUUUACUUGAAAUUUUUUAUUUUAUACAAUGCCUACAAAAUUUACUUAUUAAUUUGUUAGUAUCAAUUGUUGGCUUAAAUUUUCUGCAGUUUGAAUAAUAUUGUCCUAGAUAUACUAAAUUUACAUUAGAUUUGAAUAAGGUGGGUUUCUAUAUAUGAAACCCAUUGGCCAUAAAACUCAGUUUUGUAUAAAUUAACAUGGGGCUAUCUAAAAUUAACUACUAUUUACAUACUACCUCAAAUUUUUUUAUUUGACACAAUUGACUUUUAGAUCAACGAUUGACCGUUCAUCUUAUUCAAAAAUUUUGUGCAAAUAUACAAAAGUGUAAUUCUUAAAUUUUAUUUAGUAAUAAAACAAAUCAUAGCAAAACAAAUAAUAACAUAUAAUUUUUUAAUAAGACGGAUGGAUAAAAAAAGUUAACGGUGUUAAAUAAAGAAACUGGAGAGAGUAAUUUGUAGGAAACUAUAAGAAUUAUAAAACGAGCAAUUCCAACGAUCUAGAAAUUAAGCAUUACGUAGUACUCCCUACUUCCCUAAAUAUUUAACGUUGUUGACUUUUUAUACAUGUUUGACUAUUCGUCUUAUUCAAAAAAUUUAUACAGUUAUUAAUUAUUUUUAUAUUAUUUCAUUUAUUGUCAAAUAUACUUUUAUACAUAUAUAUAACUUUAUAUAUUUGACAAAAAGUUUUAAAUAAGACGAAUUAUCAAAUGUUUAUAAAAAAGUCAAUGCCGUCAAACCCUGAGGAACGGAUGUAGUACAGUAUAACAGCGGCAAAACCAAGCCUAAGUCACCCAUUUGGGAAUUUUUUGGACGGUGGUGUGCGGUAAUCCGAUCGGAUGCUCAAACUGUGGUGUGUUGAUAUGAUAUGAUCUGCAAGCAUCAACCCUCCCACCCCUAUUUAUUUUAUAUAUGUUUGUUAAGAGACACAGUAAUUACUAGUAUUUUGUUAAGAGCAGGAAAAGAGCAAUUUGUUGAAUUUUAAUUUUAUUUAUUAAAUAAUUUACAAAUUUAAUUUUGCAUUUCAAAAAAUUACAAAACUAACCUCCUGCCGCCCUCUAGGAGGGCGCAAAGGUAAUAUGGCAAACGGCCACUCGGUUGUGACGAACGGCUGCCACCCUUUGAACCGCGGUUAGAUACGUAUAUGUAUAACGUAUGUAAUUAUUAGAACAUAAAUAGUUCUUUGGCUCAGUAGUUACUAUCUCUCUUCUAUUUAGGUGAAAAAGGUCAAAUCCUCACAAGAGCAUAUUUUCUUUCUAUUUUUGCCAGCCCAAGAAAAAAUCAAAUAAAAUAUACCGGUUAGUCUCCAAGAUAGAAGAAUAGGUCAAUGACCACUGACCUAUGAUAAUAAUUUUGAUCAAACAAUUACAUUGUACAUAUACGUAUCUAACUGUAGUUCGAUCAAAAAAUUCUCGUUUUAAUAGAAAAAUUCCUGGGCCGCAUGGCAAAUUUUGCAUGACAGGAGGUUAGUUUUGUGAUUCUUUAAAAUACAAAAUUAAAUUGGCAAAUUAUUUAAUAAAUAAAAUUCAAAAUUCAAAAAAUUCGGAAAAAAGAGCAGUAAAUUAAGAAAGAGUGGGCCGCAUGAAAUGAGUUGGGUUUGUUAACGAUGGACCUGGACUUGGGGAUGCGUGCGUCGUCUUUUGGGCCCGAUCGUCAAAGCACAACCUAAAGUAAGGGUGUGUUAGUUUGAAAAAACAAAUUUUUUUCGGUUGACCGAAAAUGUGGGAAGGAGUUUUUAGACACGAAUAAAAAAAAAAAUUUCAUGGCCCGUCUGUAAACCGCAAGGCGAACCUUUUAAGCCUAAUUAAUAACUCAAAAAUUCGUCUCACGAGUUUCCCAUUAUUGUGUAAUUAGUUUUAAUGUUCAUAUAUAUUUAACGAUUUAUUAGAUGUCCAAAGAUUCGAUGUGAUAUUUUUGGAAAAAGUUUUUUUAGCUUAUAUGAGAAAUGAAGAUAUAUAUAUUAUGAUCAUCAAAUGCAAGCAGCUUGUUAGCCUACUGCACAUGCAUGCAUGCUACAUGCAGCUUACUUAGAAGCAAGUUGCAGAAGAGUAUUUAUUUAAUGCCUGCCUGCCUGCCUAGUUAGUGUUGAUUAAUAGGCUAAGAUACGAUCGAUCGAUAAUGGAAUAAUGAGAUUCUCCAGCAAAGUCAACAGUAUGAACCGGGUGGAUGGAUGAAUGCAUGGACCUAGCAUGCAGCUAACUUAACCUCUGAUCAGCUUAUAUUAUCACAAAUUAAAGGAAUUUUCGAAUUUUAAUUUCUAGGGAGAUCGCCUCCUUAUUUGGAAAUAAAUGAAGACGUUGACCUUUUGGCACACCUUUAACUAUUUUCUUUAUCCAAAAUUUUUUUGCAAAUAUACAAAAUAUAUGCCAUAAUUAAAAUAUAUUUUUAAUAGAUAACCUCGUUGACUUUUAUGGAUAAGCCAAUAAUAUUGGUUGUGAAUGAUAAGCCAAUAAUAAAAUGAUGAGCAGCUUAAUUAGGUUUGAGACAAGAGUCACCUAGCAUCCCAUUGUGUGGACAAAUAUGUGGUUCGUUUUCUUGGUUCACGGUUUGCAACUAUGGUUGGCAAUGCGGGGUGGGCCAAAGCUAGGUUGGGCAAGAACGGCUAUGGUCCCAACCCCGAACUUCAUCCUAGGCCUUGAUCCCGAAGGAUCCCCUAACUUGGACGGGGCCCUGACGCCUCCGAGGAAAGUUGCACAUAGAGAAGAUGAGGUACUCACUGCCCGGCUGUGUCGCCACCACCUAUGCCUGGUCAAUGAGAGGGAGAGGGAUAGAGUGAGGCCGCUGUGCAGACCCGUUGUCACCGCUAGCUGGUCGAGUGACAGGGAGAGAAAGAGAGUGAGGGGGUAGAUAGGGUUUGAUUAGGUUUUUAGUGGGCUUUUGCUUUUGGACCAUAAGGGAUUUAAAAGUCUAAUAUAUAUCCCAAGUCCCCAAAGGUUCCCUGCGGGUUGAACCAUUCCCUGUCCCUAUCUCCGCCGGGUCCCAGGGCCCUAGCCCUGAAUCCCCGCGGGGCCAUUUUGUCCCCCGCACUCGUGGAAGAAAUUAUCAACCAUAUUUGCAAUUAAUUCUGACCGUUAUGCCCCAAUCCAUCUAAAUUCUAGUACCUGAAAAGAAUGUAACCAACCCAAUUGGUCCACAUCAUGUCAUAAUUUUAAUUUCCACCAAUUAUGGUAAAGGAAUUGGUUGCUUAACACAACUAGUAGAGUUUUAAAAAUUUAAUCACUGUCAAACCCUUUAGAUCCUCUCAAUACGAUUAUCAUCAGAUGAUAUUUUUCGAGAAUCUUUUGCACAAAUCUAUGGCAACUUUGCACAAAACAACCAAAGACCACAAAUUUCUUCUUUAAUUGCAUUUUUUGCAAUUAGCCCACCAUUCGUUUAUGAUUUUCUUUUUGCAAACAGGCACUCAUAAUUUGAUAAAUUUCACCCUUAAGCCCUCAUUAAGGCCCCAAGAAUUUCCUAGAACCUUCUAAAACCCACCAAAGCUAAUUUCAUCUAAACUUAGUUUCUAGAACUUUCCAAAAGCUAAAAAAACGUUUAGCCCCCAUUGUUUUCACCUCCAAAACCAUUGGCAUACAUUUCAAGUAUUUAAGUUUAGUCAUCCAUAUCAAAGAAGAUAGUAAAAUAGAGUAGAAGGAAGUAGAGGCAUGUGUAAGCCUGAUCCGGGCUGGCUGAGGGCCGCAGCAGCAUGUGUGACCACCCACAGGCCCAGUUGGGAGGGGGUCCAACCGAACUUAUAUUUAUAUGUUCAUGUGGUUUGAUUUUUAUUUAUUUAUUAAAAAUAGAUGAUUAAUCAAUAUUUGAAUGCUAAUUGAUGAUAUUAGUUAAGGUUAGUAGCUCUAUCAUUUACUUGUUGGCUUCAUAGUUGUAGCCAAAAUUCGAAGUUUCAAAUUCAAUAUUAGAUUUGGUUUUAAGGUGCUCUUGUUGUAAUUUAAUUUUUCUAGCAUUGUUUUUUAAACUGCUAAGAACAGAAAUAAAAAUAGUUUUAGUCAUAAAUUAUUAUUUUGUUUGUUUCAUUGUUUCUUCAUGUUCAUUAUUUUAGUUGUCAAUUUAGUAUCAAAGUUAUUUAUCGAAAACGAGAAUAGAGACAUUGCAAGUUUACUCUUAAGGUUAAGACAUGGUGUAUCAUGUUAGCUACUGAUAUUUAUUUGUGUCAGAUUAGAGGAUAAAUGGUUAUAAAGUAUAUAUUGCAUGUAAAAAAAUAUUUGACCUAAAGAGCUCAUGACACCGAGUUUAAUUACCAAAGAUUCUCAAAAUUAUAUGACCGGCCCGCUUAUACUUAUCCCAACUAGAGUUUAGUGUUUAGGGAAAAGGUCAGAGCGCAUAUAUAUAACCGGUUUGCUGGUAUACCGCAGCUUUUGUUUUGCCACUUCCGUAUAUAAUGGAUCAAUACUUGAUUUUCUAAAAAUAAACACAAAAUGACAUAGGAUGCAUGGAUCGCCUUUGACUUGUACGUACGUGAGUAUGAACAACUCCAUAUAGUAUUAAAUAAAUUAAUGUAUACGUACGUGCAUGUGUGGCUGACCGACAAUAUUACUGAGAUCGAUGCCCGUCUAGGCCUAGUCCAUGUAUCAAGUCAAGUCAGCUCCAUGCUCUAGCUAAUUCUGAGUAAUUUACUAGUACUCCCCCAUUUUUUUAAUCGACACGGUUUUGACUUUUAGAUUUACUUUUGACACUCUAUCUUAUUUAAAAAUUUUGUGCAAAUAUAUAAAAUUAUAAAUCAUGAUUAAAGUUAUUUUAGUAAUAAAUCAAAUCAUAACAAAAUAAUUUAUAAUAAUUAUUUUUUAUAAGAAGAAUGGUCAGACGUAGAUUCAAAAGUCAAUUCCGUCAAUUAAAAAAAGAUGGAGUAGUAUUUUAUUAUUGUAGACAAAAACUCCUCUUUCUCGAUAUAAGUCAUUGACUUGCUACACAAUUCUACUCAUUUUAGUUGAAUGUUGCUGUUCUUGUAAUAGACUACACAGAAAAAGUAACCAUGUGUUUGCUAUGAAAAAAUUGUAUUAUAAAAUGCUACGUAAGGGGUAUGACAGGUAUAAGGUGAUUUGCAUUAUAGCUAGCCAUUUGUUCUUAGAGCGCUGUAUCAUUUAUAUGUUUGAUAAAAGAACUAUCAUCCAAAGGUAAGAAACAGUUAUUUUGUAAUUAUAUUUCUUCUCAUAAAACAAGUUGAUUCUAGCUUCUACGCAAAGUUAAUUAAACUUCAUUCUGGUUCACCAUAAAGGAAUAUUUUUAUUUCCAUAUAUAUAAGCCUGUUUACUUUAGUGAACUAUAAAAUUUGUGAGCUUACCAACCGAGGGAACAUCAUUAUUGUGUUGAUAAAAUUGUAUGACUCUAUCUAUCUACCAGAGUUUAAACUCUAAGCCUAUAAAAAUGAUGUGCAUGAAUGAUGUGGAUAGAUACUUAUAGAUGAAGGACAAAUUAACCCCAUGAACACGGAGCAAGGAAUAUGUGUGUGUGUGUAAUUUUAUAUAUUUAUAUAUUGAUGGUGGGCUGUUACCAUUUUUGUGGGCUCUCUUUCGAUUGGAACAAUGUAUGGCCAGAAAUACAUGCAUGCAUGUGGGCUGAGAGAAAUAAAAGGCCCAUAGAUUGGAAUUAGGGGACUAUGAAUGUGUUAUGCCUUUUGGCUACCUGCAUUCUCAUUAUUAUACAUCUAAUCCUAGGCCCACACAGGGAGAAGCGAAACAUAAUGCUCUUUUUUUAUUAUUUUUUUAGAGAAUGGUAUUUUUAACCAGCCUCUAUAUCCACUCGGAUAUAUGUAGCUAUUUUUUUUAUUUCAGAAACUCUGGGAACUUAGCCCAAGUAAGGAUCUAGCCCCUCAAAUACCUAAUUUGAAAUUCAUACCCCUCAAAUACCCAAUUUGAAAUUCAUACUUCUAUGGAGAUUUGAACCCUGGACCUUGAAUGUUACUCAGGUCACUGUAACCACUAGGCUGCAUGCCCUUUCA
rnacentral:lncRNA from 1 species